UACGUAGGGUGCGAGCGUUAAUCGGAAUUACUGGGCGUAAAGCGUGCGCAGGCGGUUCGUUAAGUUCGUUGUGAAAGCCCCGGGCUCAACCUGGGAAUUGCGCGCGAAACGGGGGGGCUUGAGUUCGGGAGAGGAGCGUGGAAUUCCCAGUGUAGAGGUGAAAUUCGUAGAUAUUGGGAAGAACACCGGUGGCGAAGGCGGCGCUCUGGACCGAGACUGACGCUGAGGCGCGAAAGCGUGGGGAGCAAACAGG
rnacentral:rRNA from 1 species